AGUAAUGUAUUUUUUGUUCAUUGCAGUGUGCAUAGCUUCAGGAUCUAGACUAGCUUUGUUUAACAGGCUUCACUCCCAGACUGCCAGUACUCGAUAUCUUCAUGUUGAGAACGGUAACUUCCAUGCCAGCUCUACUCAAUGGGGUGCUUUCACCAUUCAUCUCUUGGAUGAUACUGAAUCAGAGUCUGAGGAAUUUACUGUUCAUGAUGGUUACAUUCAUUAUGGUUCUACUGUUAAGUUAGUCUGUUCAGUUGCAGGAAUGGCAUUACCUAGACUGAUAAUAAGGAAAGUUGACAAGCCGACAGCUCUUCUAGAUGUUGAUGAUCCAGUUUCACAACUUCAUAAAUGUGUUUUUUACAUGAAGGAUACUGAAAGAAUGUACCUUUGUUUAUCUCAGGAAAGAAUCAUACAGUUUCAGGCUACUCCAUGUCCUAAAGAGCCUAACAAGGAGAUGAUGGGGCUUCUUGGACAAUCAUUAACACUGAUAAAGCAGAAUAUACUUUUUAUGAAGGAAUGGGCCCUGUUCGCUCUACUGUUACUCCUGUUCCUGUUGUACAUAGUCUUCAAGUAAGCAUUUUUAAUCACUAAUAGAUAAUUUUUAUUUUUCUGAUUCAGACUAUUGUAAUAUUUACACUUGAUAAGAUUACAUAAAAAUAAUUUUAUUUAAUAGCUUUUUUUCCCUCCAGUUUUAUUUAUACAAAAAUAUUUAAAAAAAUAACAGGGAGUCCUUUCUUCAUUGUUAAUACAGUGAACACCACACAUAUUUUGAAGGAAAUCCCCAUUAGGUCACAAAUGCUGCUUAGGUGUGCAAGUGCUCAUAUUAUGGAAUAGUAACGUGAAACGUACAACUAACAGAUUAAAAUAAAUUAAAAUUAGAUUCGUAAUAAAUGAAAAUUAAGUAAAUUUUAAAUAACUUUUCAGUAAUUGCUUAAAACAUAGUAAAUUUUUUAGUAUUAUUAUAUAAUUCUUUAUACUGUCAGUUACGAGUGACUUACUGAGGUAGUUUAUUGAGUAGUUUAACCUUUUCUGGGGGGCUGUGACAGCAGUUGUCACAUCUGAUCUUGGGGUCCUGUGGGUGGGACACUUUCAGCAUAAGAAUUGGGGAAAAAAUCUCCUCAGUUAAGAGAGAGGAUCAAGUUACAGCGGGAUGUGUUUUAUUGUUUUAGUCACUAAGAGAGGUCUCACC